rnacentral:tRNA from 1 species
GCCGAAGUGGCGAAAUUGGCAGACGCGCUACGUUCAGGGCGUAGUGGGGUCACUCCCAUCAGGGUUCAAGUCCCUGCUUCGGCA